UUUAAGCGGUAGUUGUAAAUUUCUGUGUUCAACUUUAAUCGGCUAUCUUAUUUAAUUUUUUUUAUGAUUAGUAUUUUUGUUGUUGUUAGAUAAUAAAACAUAGUAGUACUUUAUAUAUAACUUAUUUCUUAAAUUUUUUAUAAAAUUUUUAAAUAAGAUAAAUGAUCAAAUGAAUAAUGAAAACUUGUGACUGCAUUUAAA
rnacentral:pre_miRNA from 1 species